rnacentral:rRNA from 1 species
ACCGUGAAAAAAUUAGAGUGUUCAAAGCAGGCAGAUUCAAUUUUCUGCCACCGAAUACAUUAGCAUGGGAUAAUGGAAUAGGACCCUGUCCUCCUAUUUUCAGUUGGUUUUGGCAGCGCGAGGACUAGGGUAAUGAUUAAUAGGGAUAGUUGGGGGCAUUAAUAUUUAAUUGUCAGAGGUGAAAUUCUUGGAUUUAUGAAAGAUUAACUUCUGCGAAAGCAUCUGCCAAGGAUGUUUUCAUUAAUCAAGAACGAAAGUUAGGGGAUCGAAGACGAUCAGAUACCGUCGUAGUCUUAACCAUAAACGAUGCCGACCAGCGAUUAGGAGACGUUGAAUACAAAACACCACCAUCGGCGCGGUCGUCCUUGGCGCGUUCGUGUUCACGCACGGGCGCGCGAGGGCGGCUUAGCCCGGUGGCACCGGUGAAUGACUCCUAGCAG